rnacentral:rRNA from 1 species
CAGCCGCCACGGUAAUACGUAGGUGGCAAGCGUUGUCCGGAAUUAUUGGGCGUAAAGGGCUCGCAGGCGGUUUCUUAAGUCUGAUGUGAAAGCCCCCGGCUCAACCGGGGAGGGUCAUUGGAAACUGGGAAACUUGAGUGCAGAAGAGGAGAGUGGAAUUCCACGUGUAGCGGUGAAAUGCGUAGAGAUGUGGAGGAACACCAGUGGCGAAGGCGACUCUCUGGUCUGUAACUGACGCUGAGGAGCGAAAGCGUGGGGAGCGCACAGGAUUAGAUACCCGCGUAGUCCCUGUCUCUUAUAC